rnacentral:lncRNA from 1 species
AGGCAGCCUACUUCAGAGUGGUAGCUGGCAACUCUAGUAAGCAAGAGAGCUUACAAAUGAGGCUUAUCUUGGGUGGCUAAAAGAUGAGUAGAUUUCCACACCUGCUACCAGAGUCUUUUUUUUAAAUACAUUUUUAAAAUGAGAGUGUAGUCGAUUUACAAUGUUGUGCCAAUUUCUGCUACACAGCAAAGUGACCGAGUCAUAUUCAUAGGUAUAUAUUCCUUUUCUUAUACUAUCUUCCACCCUGGUCUUCCCCAAGAGACUGGACGUAGUUCCUUGUGCUAAACAGCAGGACCUCAUUGCUUAUCCAUUCUAAAUGUAAUAGUUUGUAUCUACCAACCUCAAACUCCUAGUCCAUCUCACUACCCCUUCUUCCUGCCCUUGGCAAUCACAAGUCUGCUCUCCAUGUCUGAGUCUGUUUCUGUUCUGUAGAUAGGUUCAUCUGUGCCAUAUUUUACAUUCCACAUGUAAGUGAUAUCAUAUGGUGUUUGUCUUUGUCUUUCUGACUUCACUUAGUAUGAGAAUCUCUAGUUGCCACCAGAAUCUUGAAGGUUUAUGCAGAGGCCUAAACUGGGUUCAGUCACGUAUUCAAUCCAGGUGGUCUUAGGGCAUGUUACUCUGUCAAGGCUGCAUCCUUGAAGUGGUUGUGGGCGUGGUGGGCAGAGGUAAGGUAAGGAUGGAUGGGGAGAGGUCCGGACUCUCUCUCGCCUGGGUCAACUGUGGGUCCUGUUCUUGUGAUGACCUCCCCAGCAAUAACCAGAAUGUACCAGGCACACACCUGAAACGAGGGAAUUGAUUUAAGUGUUACAGUGUAUCAGGGCUGCUCUUACAACUCUUCUUUCUGGGAGAGUGAGUUCAGUAGUAAAGUGGGGUUGGGUGGGCUUGGCAACUUCCAGGAAAACCAGGCCCCAGGAAGGAAGAUGAAAAGAGCAGACAUCUCUCUGGAGCAGCUCCAAUUCUUCCCAGACCGAGUGGAAAAUUUAAAAGGUAGGGCCUGAGGGACCUAAAAGAGCUUCCCGUUGUUCAUCAUUUCUUGUCAGAACCUGGAAGCACAGUUUCUUUCUGCUGUAGCUUUGUCUGGUUUCCACUGGGUCCUGCCCCCAGGUCGAAGGAGCCUGGAACCUCUCGAACCCCUGUUUGAACAUAAAGGUAUUGGGAUGGAUUCCCACAAUGCCAGGGUGAUGUUGAGGCCUUACUGUCAAGGAAAGGGGAAGAGCCGAGUGCUUUAGCUCUAAAGAUCCGCACGGGCAGAUGGACAGUAGAUUUAACUCUUUACAUGUGGUUUAGUGCCUGAAGCUUAGCAAGUACAUUGACGAUCAUCUCCAUAAAGAAAUUCUAAGGGAGACAGUGUAAGAAGUAAGUACUGCCUUUCUUCCUAUGUUGGCCUGCCUUUGCAGAGCUUCUUAGGAAAUGCUAGAGGGCUUUGUUUUCAUCAGAUAAGAAGAAUGAUGGGCUUUGUAUUGAUUAUCAUGGGAAAGGUGCUGAAAGAAUUAGAGUCAUACAAAGAAUGCAGUGUCAGAGCUGGAAAGGGUCUUAGGUAGCACCAAGUGUGUGGCCUCCCAACUUUCAGGUGAAGAAUCCGAGGCCCAGAGAGAGGUGACUUGCCUAAGGACACCUAGCUAAUUAACGCUAGCUUACAUCACAGUUUGGAAAAUUCACCUGUUGGCACAGCUGUUUUUAUAUAAGCUUUUGAAGACAAUUUUGCUGAUGUGGUUUUGAAUGGAGUAGAUCACAGGCAGUCUUCUGUGGACAGUGAAUAGGCCACUGGUGGAGAGCAGGAUGCCCAGGUCCUCAGUGAUGGAUCAGUGGUCCCUGGGGACAAGGCAGAAGCUGGGGAAGCUCUUUGGAAGGUGGAGUCUCAGGUACAUGUUGGGAGGGGUCGUAGUUACCUCAGAGUGGGGUCUUUCCUAGUGUGGCUCUUUGUAGGAUUCAGUGGAAAACAUUUUUUUUUUUUUCUUACUGGCCUUUGGCUCUUCCUUUGAUUCUCUUUUAAAGCUUUAGGUAAGCAAGAGCAGCAGUUGAAGGCUGAAUGUUUUUCUUCUUGUUUAGCCUGAAGGCUGUGUGCAGUUCUGGCAGUUAAUGUCAUAAAUUAAGGCCUUUGAAGAACAUGCCUGUUUUUGUCAAACUUGGCAAGUGUUGAGGUUCAGCAUUUUCCCAAGGAGCCUCCAUCAAGUAUAGAAAGAGAGAGAGAUUGAGGCCUGGGAACACUCUCUUCUCCUUGCACUGAUUUAUUUUGGCCUCUAUGGGACUUAGGCUGCCAUGUAUGGCCUCCCAGGCUGUACACUGCACAACUCCAGGAUCAUGAUCCAAAGAUGUGCCAGGAACCCCAGUGUAUGAUGCUGGGACUCUUGGCCUGUCACUGAGAUGCUGCAGUUCUAGAAGCCUCUGGGGCUCACUGGUGACUAAGCUGCUGCACAGGUCUCUGCUUCUUUCAUCGCUUUCUUUCUAGCUCUAUCCCUCGUGUGGGGUCAUGGUAUCUUCCAGCGUCUAGGGAAACCCAAACCAGGGUUCAUCCAUUCUGGGUAGCAACUGUGACCUGAUCUUUGUCCUAUCAAAAUGUCCUUGUUCUGAAUGUGGCAUACCUCCCAGGACUAUUGACAUUUAUAAUGGUACUUUUGGAGACAAAAUAUCAACCUAAAUAGAAAUUUUGCAUUGUGGGGAGUAGGAACAUUUGGGAGGAGAGGGGCCUUUGGAGGCAGCCCUCAUACCAUGGCAGUUAUGAAUGUCCUUUCUGUCCCCUUCCCCCUGAUGCGCUUUAGUCACAGGAGAUAGUUGCUCUGUAAGUCCCCUAACAACCUUUUUCGCUUUUGCAUCCUCCCACUUGAGGGCAGGAUAAAGAAUUACCCUGGACACCUCCUAACUCUGGGUGGGGGCCCUGCCCUUGGAAACCGAGCCUGGGUAUAGACCCAUUUCCCUUCCAUUUCUUCCCCUCAGGACGGCUGAGAAAGGAUGGCUUUUUCCAAAGGAACUUUUAUGGUGUUUAUGCUGGUGAGCCUUUAAUAAAAGACACAGAAGCGCUACAUAAAAAUUUUUUCCUAACUUUUUUAUAGAGGGCAAAGGAAAAGAAAUUCAGAAAUGAAGAGCACUAAUAGGGUGGGUUGAGGAGGAAAGUUGUUUAGAAAAUAUUAGCUUGGAGUUCCCAUCUUGGUGCAGCAGAAACAAAUCCGGCUAGGAACCAUGAGGUUGCAGGUUUGAUCCCUGGCCUCACUCAGUGCGUUCUGGAUCUGGCAUUGCUGUGAGCUGUGAUGUAGGUCGCAGACGCGGCUUGGAUGUGGCAUUGCUGUGGCUGUGGUGAAGGCUGGCAGCAAAAGCUCCGAUUAGACCCCUAGCCUGGGAACCUCCAUAUGCUG